GGGGAUCACGUCUACGGGGGAAGACACCGCCUUUGCAAGGCGGGGAGGCCGGUUCGACUCCGGCGAUCUCCA
rnacentral:tRNA from 1 species